AUUAAUUUGGCAGAUUUAAGUGCAUUAAAUUUAGAAUUUAAUUAUGUUAUUUAUUGACAAUUAAUA
rnacentral:tRNA from 1 species